rnacentral:lncRNA from 1 species
AGACGAGAUGUUUAAACUUUCCUGUUUUUGCAAAUAUUCACUCAUUAUGAAUUUGAUGACUGAGCGGGAAACAAGAGACUGGGAGAACUGGGAAUGCUGGGGGAGGGUUAGGGUUUGGAUAAGGGGAGGUUCACCAGGGGAGUAUGGUAGGUCAGCAGGUGGGUCUUUGAAUGAGACCCAGCAUUUCCUGUAGCUGAGAGAUCCCAUCGGUCUCCAGGGGUCAGUGGGAUGUUCUCUAUGAUACUGUCUGUGAGGCAUCUAGUGUUAAAUGACAUCUAUAAUCAGGAGUCUUCAUCCCUAAGUGGAUUUACACAGUUUGUUGACUGUCCUGGAUCUGCUGUACGCCAACGCCUAAGAACCUAACAAAACCACACUGGGCAGGUCGGACCAGAACCUGGUCCACCUGCAGUUUACCUAAGAUUCCAGACACAUGAAAAUGAUAAAGUCACAAAGUAAAUAAAGUCAAUAGUCCUUGAGCCGGACCAGAUGUCGGUACCACUUGGGUGGGCAAAACCUUACAUAUACUAAAUAGUUUUUAGGGUCAAUACAAGUAAAUUAAAAUAUGAUAGACUUUUCAUAGGGGUAGCUUUUUAUAUUUUUUCUCAUUUUGUUAUUUUCCUCAAUAGGCGAAUUUUUGUUAACUCCAAAAGCAACACAGAAAGUCAAAAGUACAUUAAAAGUCAUUCUCUUUUUGGGUCACACUGCUCUUUUCUAUAAAUGAAUCAAACCUGUGUCUAAUUAAAUGAGUUGAUGAAGUGGGUGUGGCCCAAUUUGAUGGUGGAGCAGUUCUUUCAGGUAUCAUAGCACUUUUUAAGUUUAGUUUUUUUUUUUUAGUUUUUAUAUGAUAGACCUUGGUAACUGGUAGCUUUAUUGUAGUUAUCACUCAUUAAAAUAAUAGAGUGCAGCUGUUCCAAAAACGAAAAAUCGCCUUCCUUCAAAAUUAGCUUUCUUUCAUUUGAACCUCUCAUUUAGGUGUGUUUGAACUAUUGGCUAGCCAUAGAGACUUGUAAUAACCCCCUAAGUAGUAUUUCAAGUAAUUUAUCUAAUACAGGUGUGUAUAUAUAAGCUUCAAUUAGUCAAUUGUCAGGUCUAAAUCAAAGUCUAAAUUAAGGAUAUUAUGGCGAGUUUUUCUCAGAUGAUUGUAAAGAGUGUAUACAUCAGUAGAUCUUAUUUUGUUGCUAAUGUCUUCUUGCCCUGCACCAGCCAGGAUGAUUGUAUAAUGAGUGCCUGCAUUUAAAAUAUGUCAGUGUCAUAUUAAGGUUGUUGUAGGAAUGUAUAGCAAUAAAUUAAUCACAACUAGAAUUUGCCCACCCAGGUGGUACCGAUAUGUGAAAUUUUGGUUCUUGGCUCAAGUACAAAGUAAAUGAACUAAAUAAAGUCAGAAGGUAAUGAAGUCACAAAGUUUAUAAAGCAAAUAAAUUGACAAAGUAAAUAAAUAAGUCAAUGUAAAUAAAGUCACAAAGUAAAUAAAGUCAUAAACUAAAUAAAGUCACAUAGUAAAUUAAGUAAAGUUAAUACAGUCAAAGUAAAUAAGUCAUAAAGUAAACAAAGUGAAUUAAGUCAAAAAAUAAAUAAAGUCACAAAGUAAAUAAAGUCAAUGUUAGUAAAGUAAAUAAGGUCAUAAAGUCAAUAAGUAAAUAAAGUCAUAAUGUCACUAAAGUAAAUUAAUUCAUAAAGUUAAUAAAGAAAAUAAAGUCAAUGUAAAUAAAGUAAAUAAAAUCACAAAGUAAAUAGUCAUAAUGUAAAAGUUAAUUAAGUCAUUAAUUAAAUAAAGUCAUAAAGUAAAUGAAGUUAUAAAGUUACAAAGUAAACUAGGGCCCCGUUGGGGCACUGGCGGGCCCGAGCCGUGUCGCGCCGCCCCCCCAACGCGCUGCCUCCCCGUCCCAUUCUCGUCCUCUGGCCAUCGCCCUCUCUGGUAACGCCCAUCACUGCAAAGACCCUUUUCCUUCAUCGGCGUUUGCUGUUCUUCCUGCCAGUGCGUGUUGCUUUCACUUACACUUGCCACAGCUAGCCUCGUGAGUGCCUAGCCUAUUGGAUAUCACUGUCACCUACACAGGACAGUCAUUACCUUUCUAUUAAUACUUUGUGUUUUAAUUUCACAUUAAUUUCCAUAUUGUAUAAACGACUGGAAAAAACUUGAGCCCCUGCCCCUGUAUAAUCAUGUGCAUGUCUCUGUUCUAGCUCCAAGGUGAAUCUUCACUGCUCAUGUUCUCCUCAGAAGCACUCACCUCACUCCCCUCAGGUUACUGUACACAUGCACCAACUGCCUGCUUCAGGUUUGGAUGGAGCUUCAUGGUUGUCUUUUGGAGAAAUGAGCAGUCAAGUUGUGUUUGAAAUUUGAUUUUUUUCAGGGGCAAAAGGAAGCCUCUGCAUUCUUGUCAAAUAUGUAAAUAGCAUGUUUUUGCAGGUGCUAAAAAACAGACUCUGAGUGUGUGUGCGUGUGUGUCUGUGUGUGUGUCUGUGUAUCCUGCAGUACUCUGAGAAGCAUAUUUCUGAGGUGAAUUUUGAAGAUUCAUCUGAGAGUUAGGAGGGCUGAUCAUUCCCUUACCCUUUAGAUGUCUGUCUAUGUCUGUUUUUGUGUGAUAAUGAAAGAAUCCCAACUCAAAAAGGCUCUGUUGAUGUUUUUUUUUUGUUCAUUCAUAUUCAAACCACUAUUUUAUAUCACUGCUAAUACGCCAAGAC